GCCCGCUCAGAAACUACAAAGGAAUUGACGGGGGCCCGCACAAGCGGUGGAGUAUGUGGUUUAAUUCGAUGCAACGCGAAGAACCUUACCUGGUCUUGACAUCCCGGAGACCCUUAGGAAACUAGGGGUGCUUCCAUCUGGAAGAAUCUGGAGACAGGUGCUGCAUGGCUGUCGUCAGCUCGUGUCGUGAGAUGUUGGGUUAAGUCCCGCAACGAGCGCAACCCUUGCCUUUAGUUGCCAGCAGUUCGGCUGGGCACUCUAAAGGGACUGCCGGUGUUAAACCGGAGGAAGGUGGGGAUGACGUCAAGUCCUCAUGGCCUUUAUGACCAGGGCUACACACGUACUACAAUGGCCGAUACAAAGGGCAGCGACACUGCGAGGUGAAGCCAAUCCCGUAAAAUCGGUCUCAGUCCGGAUUGGAGUCUGCAACUCGACUCCACGAAGUUGGAAUCGCUAGUAAUCGUGGAUCAGCAUGCCACGGUGAAUACGUUCCCGGGCCUU
rnacentral:rRNA from 1 species